CUGGAUCCCAGGGUUGGCACCAUCCCGGGAUCCCCCCGGGAGCAGGAUGGAUCCUGACCCCCCUCACUGCUGCUUCCAGCCCCCCCCAUGCUGAAUGGGGGGUCCUGCCCCCCCCGGGGGGCACACGGGGGGGGUUUGGGAUGAGGGGAAGGGGCUCCACCAUGACCUGGAUCCCAGGGUUGGCACCAUCCCGGGAUCCCCCCGGGAGCAGGAUGGAUCCUGACCCCCCCCUGCUGCUUCCAGACCCCCCCAAUGAUGAACAGGGGGGUCCUGCCCCCCCCCGGGGGGCACACGGGGGGUUUUGGGAUGAGGGGAAGGGGCUCCACCAUGACCUGGAUCCCAGGGUUGGCACCAUCCCGGGAUCCUCCCCGGGAGCAGGAUGGAUCCUGACCCCCCCCUUGCUGUUCCCCAGUGCUGAAUGGGGGGGUCCUGCCCCCCCCCGGGGGGCACACGGGGGGGGUUUGGGAUGAGGGGAAGGGGCUCCACCAUGACCUGGAUCCCAGGGUUGGCACCAUCCCGGGAUCCCCCCCGGGAGCAGGAUGGAUCCUGACCCCCCUCACUGCUGCUUCCAACCCCCCCCCAAUGAUGAAUUUGGGGUCCUGUCCCCCCCCCCCUCGGGCCCCCCCUGGUGAAUGUGACCGUGUCCCGUCCCCCCCCUCACACACACACAUUGUACAUAAACUUAUUUUUAAAUAAAGCUCUUUGCUCCUCACA